UGAGAUGACACUGUAGCU
rnacentral:miRNA from 1 species